rnacentral:rRNA from 1 species
AGUGAACGCUGGCGGUAGGCCUAACACAUGCAAGUCGAACGGCAGCACAGUAAGAGCUUGCUCUUACGGGUGGCGAGUGGCGGACGGGUGAGGAAUACAUCGGAAUCUACUUUUUCGUGGGGGAUAACGUAAGGAAACUUACACUAAUACCGCAUACGACCUACGGGUGAAAGCAGGGGAUCUUCGGACCUUGCGCGAUUGAAUGAGCCGAUGUCGGAUUAGCUAGUUGGCGGGGUAAAGGCCCACCAAGGCGACGAUCCGUAGCUGGUCUGAGAGGAUGAUCAGCCACACUGGAACUGAGACACGGUCCAGACUCCUACGGGAGGCAGCAGUGGGGAAUAUUGGACAAUGGGCGCAAGCCUGAUCCAGCCAUACCGCGUGGGUGAAGAAGGCCUUCGGGUUGUAAAGCCCUUUUGUUGGGAAAGAAAAGCAGCAGGUUAAUACCCCGCUGUUCUGACGGUACCCAAAGAAUAAGCACCGGCUAACUUCGUG